UACGACAGCUUGACCAAGAGCACGUGACUGGCAACUCUAGCUCAUGCACCCAGGGGCGAAACUAGCCCCUUUUAAUUGGGGGAGGGGGGUGUCUGCUAGAAUUGCCCUACGAAAGCCGAUGAUGCCCUGCAGUUUUUUUUGUGUUUUUUUUUGCCGCUAUUUCUCCCAACAAUGUUGGCGAGCGGGGGGAGGUCGAAAUAAUUUUUUCCGGACAUUUAAAAAAGGGGCGAAA
rnacentral:lncRNA from 1 species